rnacentral:rRNA from 1 species
AUGCAUAGCAACAACAAAAACUCUGGCGACGCUGCAUCGCAGCACCGGCGACUCCGCGGCCCAACGACCGCCGCGGCGCUUCACCACAACCUCGUCGAAGCUUCACUGCAACCUCGCCGGAGCUCCAAGAACCGCCGUGGCGCUUCAUUGCAACCUCGCCGGAGCUUCAUUGCAACCUCAGCCGUGCUCCAUGGUAGCACCCCGACGGCCGCCGGCGAAGCUUCAUUGCAGCGUUGCAACACCGGUGCGCGAGCAGAACAAACUCCUGUGUGCUGCGUUGCAGCGCCGGCGAGGCCGUGUCGCAGCACCGGCGAGUCGCAGCGCCGGCGGCAUUCGAGUCAACGACGACGCUGCGUUGCAGCACCGGCGGUCGUCGCCAACAAUCACCGCGUCUCGGUGCCGCGUGUGGAUCUUGAGCAGCAGCAGCAGGUGAAGCUUGGGAAGCAGGCCACCGCGGGCAGCACUAGGACGGAGGCCAUGGCGAUGUGUGCGGGGACGAAGGGGAUCCAGCGCCGUGGAUUUUGUGGAGAUAAGGCCGGUAGAAACCAGCAGAUGGGGGAAAAGGAGACGAAAGGGGAUUGA